rnacentral:tRNA from 1 species
GGGUCAGUAGCUGAAUCGGUCGCAGCACUCGUUUGUUAAACGAGAGGAAUGCGGGUUCGAAUCCCGCCUGGCCCU